ensembl:lncRNA
CACAGGCAUCCAUCACCGUAGGAUUUUCGGAUCGAACUCGAGACCUUUUGCUUGUGAGGCAGGAACCAGAACCACUGAGGUGAUCUUUGCUGUAGUCAGCUCCUCGGAGCAUUUGGUAAGGCCCUUGGUCUUACAAUGGGCCACUGAGGAAACAGUGAUCCUAAUUAAAAACCAUGGAUUCUUACUAUGUUACUCAGACUGGUCUCAAACUCCUGGGCUCAAGCGAUACUCCUGCCUUAGCCCCUCUAGUAGCUAGGACUAUAGUCAUUGUCUUGUCACCAGUUCAGUCUGGGGAGGUUCACUUGAGAAUUGGCCAACCCAAAGAAGAGACACAAAGUCAUGGAAAUGUCUGACCAUAUUCUAUUCUCUAGUGCUGCUCAGGCUCCUAGCCUGCCCAUUCUCGCAGCCACCCUUGGCCUCUUUAUCUUUGUCUCCAGCUCUCACGACAGCUCUCAUGACAAAAUACACAGUAGUGGCCAUGUGCCAGCAUCGACCUUGGCUGUAUCAGCUACACUGAGAUUGACAAGGUGUUCUUGUGCCAAAAUCUUGCUGAGUUGGACUUCAUGUCCACCAAAAUUCACCG